rnacentral:rRNA from 1 species
UACAGAGGUCUCGAGCGUUAGUCGGAGUCACUGGGCUUAAAGCGUACGUAGGCGGAUAUGCAGGCGUCGUGUGAAAUCCCUUGGCUCAACCAAGGAACUGCACGGCGAACCGCAUGUCUUGAGAUCGGUAGGGGCGGUCGGAACGAUAGGUGGAGUGGUGAAAUGCGUUGAUAUCUAUCGGAACGCCGAAGGUGAAAGCAGGCCGCUGGGCCGAUUCUGACGCUGAGGUACGAAAGCGUGGGGAGCAAACAGG